GUCAUGUGCAGUGGGGAUGAACCUGUAGCCACUGAUUUAGCAGCAUGUUGGGGGGGCUGAGACAGGAGAUUCGCUUGAGUCCAGGAGUUCUGGGCUGUAGUGGGCUAUGCCAAUUUGGUGUCUGCACUAAGUUCGGCAUUAAUAUGGUGACCUCUUGGGAGCAGGGGCCACCAGGUUGCCUAAGAAGGGGUGAACUGACCCAGUUGGAAAUGGAGCAGGUCAAAGCUCCCAUGCUGAUCAGUAGUAGGAUUGCUCCUGUGAGUAGCCACUGCACUCCAGCCUGGGCACCAUAGUAAGACCCCGAAUCUA
rfam:Otolemur garnettii contig144899, whole genome shotgun sequence.